AUUUCAUCAAAGCAUGCUCAUUUUUCACAAAAUUGUGGACUUAGAAAAAUUUCACAAUUUUUUUCCCCCCCCCACACAAGCUCUAGGUUCUGCCCUUGAAAAACAAAGUGGCCCUUCCUCUCAAAAUUUUUCGCUUCCGAGGGCAUGGUAAUAUCCCAUAAUACCCCCGAGUUACUAAUCCAAGCCCCAAAAAAUUUUCCGGGCAAAGCCUCAAAUUUCGAAAAUUCAAUUUUAGAUUCUUUAACACACAUACAACACUAAAACCAUUUUUUUUCCCAAAAAUUUUUGCAUGGUAAUUCGCCCUAGGCCACCAUUGUGCCUCCCUCAAAGCCCUGACAAAUUUUGAAACCUCUCCCACACUUUUCCGAAAUUUCUCAUGACCAAAAGUUUUGAAAAUAAGGACCACACUCAAAAUUUUCCAAUGCAAAGUCCUAGCUAGCAUCUAUUAGUUCACAUGACCAUGGAAUUGAUCAACCAAACCACUUUGAGCAUCAAAACAAAAGUUUCUAAAAAAUAUGUUCAUAAAAUCCUCAAGAACACACUCAAAAUUAUUUUUCCUUGUUUCACAAAAUUAAAGCCAUAAUCUAACAUCCAUUUCACUACUAAGCUCAUAAACAACACCAAAAAGAAAAGCACAAAACAAUUUUUCAAAGUUAUGAUCAUUUUAAAUAAGUUUUUCAAACCCUAACAAAAGAUUUUAUGAAAAUCUUAAUCACCAUGGAAAUCACCAUGUGCCAAGCUUAAACAAGCUUAAAUACUACUCCUAAACACUUCCC
rnacentral:lncRNA from 1 species